AUGCCUCUCCGCCGCCGCCUCCUAGGCCUGUCCGCCGGCCUCCGCCGCUCGCUCGCCACAGCCGCCACGCAUCCCCCGUGGGCCAUGAUCAACCGCACGGCGGAGUUCGUCGGAGCGGCGAGCGCGGACGUGCGCCUCGCCUCGCCACCGCUCGUCUCCGAGCUAUGCGUCCCGGAGCGCCUCGUCAAGACCAGGGGCAGCCCCGGCCCCGGCAGCGACGUCGUUCAGUCGCUCGCCGGCGGCGUCUCCGCCGCGAGCGGCGACGGCCUCCUCCUCCUCUCCUGCCUAGACCUGCGCUUCGUCGCCCCCGGCGCCGCUCGGGUGCGCCAGCAUCUCUACGGCCUCGACCCCACCCACGUCCCCAGCGUCACGCGCUUCGUCUGCAACCCUCUCACCCGCGAGCUACGCCGCCUCCCGGACUCCGGCUCCGACCCUGAGGCCGACGUCCUGUGCGACCCCAACAUGGGCCUCCUCACCCAAGCCGAUCGCGGGCACGGGCCGCCUGGCAAGUUCGCCGUCGCCGACCUGCAGGAGGGGAACCACAUGCUCCGGUUUCUCUCGGAAACAGGCAAGUGGGAGAACGUCGCGCUCUCGCCGUGCCAGGUCCCAUUUGCGCGGCGAAUGGACAUAGACCAGGAGGCGCUGGCAUUCGGCGGCCGCCUGUGGUGGGUCGACUUGGCCUGGGGCGCAAUCUCUGCCGACCCGUUCAGCGACCGGCCGGAGCUCUCCUUCGUCGAGCUGCCGAGGGGCAGCGUGCUGCCGGCUGGCGUGCAGGACGAAGCGUUUCGCCGAGGAAGCCCGCUGCGUGACGCUCAGGGCAGGGUGUGGUGGGAGCAGGCGCCCGUCAGUUACCGGCGCAUGGGUGUCAGCCAAGGGCGGCUGCGGUACGUGGAGGUCUCUCAAGGGGAGCCGUUCUUUCUCAGCUCCUUCGUGCUCGACGACGAAGGCAGGGGCUGGACGCUGGAGCGCCGAGUGGUGCUCAACAAGCUGUGGGGGAGCACCAUGGGACUACCUUUACAGGAGAGGGGGUCGACACGCAUUGUCCUUGUUGACCCGCUUAAUGCCAAUGUCGUUUACCUCACGGCACACAGAAUUGCCGUCGUCGCCGUGGACAUGGACAGGCAGGAGGUGAUCGGAUGUUAUCCCUAUAGAAGCGACCUCUGUCUGCCAUGUGUCCUUCCACCGUGGCUUCGAUCGAGCCGGAUCCCUUCUGCAGGCAAGAAGUAUGUUGAGAAAAACAAGACUCUGGCAGAUGUUCUAGUUCGUUCACCCAGUCACUAG
rnacentral:rRNA from 1 species